rnacentral:rRNA from 1 species
AGACCCGAAACCCGGUGAUCUAGCCAUGGGCAGGUUGAAGGUUGGGUAACACUAACUGGAGGACCGAACCGACUAAUGUUGAAAAAUUAGCGGAUGACCUGUGGCUGGGGGUGAAAGGCCAAUCAAACCGGGAGAUAGCUGGUUCUCCCCGAAAGCUAUUUAGGUAGCGCCUCGUGAAUUCAUCUCCGGGGGUAGAGCACUGUUUCGGCCAGGGGGCCAUCCCGGCUUACCAAUCCGAUGCAAACUGCGAAUACCGGAGAAUGUUAUCACGGGAGACACACGGCGGGUGCUAACGUCCGUCGUGAAGAGGGAAACAACCCAGACCGCCAGCUAAGGUCCCAAAGUCAUGGUUAAGUGGGAAACGAUGUGGGAAGGCCCAGACAGCCAGGAUGUUGGCUUAGAAGCAGCCAUCAUUUAAAGAAAGCGUAAUAGCUCACUGGUCGAGUCGGCCUGCGCGGAAGAUGUAACGGGGCUAAACCAUGCACCGAAGCUGCGGCAGCGACACUGAUGUGUUGUUGGG